AAAAAGUUAGCUCAUAUGGAUAGAGCAAUCGACUGUAGAUCGAUGUGUAACAGGUUCGAGUCCUGUACUUU
rnacentral:tRNA from 6 species